AGGACAUGACAUUUGUGUAUCGCCUACCACAAGUUUUGUAUUAAUUUAAUUUUUUAGAGAAAGUUAUGUGAAGUUGGACCCUUUUAGUUCUGCAAUUUUGUACGCGUGUCGCACACUUUAGAAAAUAAAUCAAAAAUGUUGAAUAGUAUUAUUUGUUUCACAUGAAAAAGCAAGAUUCAUUGUCAUUUCAAACUCAACGGUUUUAAUAAAGAAAUCAUAUUUUGAAGAAGAUCAACAGUUGCAGUUAUUCUAAUUCAUUGAUGUUAAUAACAAUGCCUAUAGUCUCUUCCCUUCUGUUCUACCUAACGCUGUCAGCAUCUUGGACCGCAGCGGGCUUGGUGGACGACCAGCCCUACUGCGCCGUGCGGUACCGAAGGCUGUGUCAAGGGAAAGGGAGGCAUGUAGGCUGCCAGUUUCCUGAUGCUGGUCCCGGGAUUUCCUGCAAGAACUACCGUCCGAUACAAUUUCACAACGAUCUGAAGCAUUUCAUCACACAUUACAUUAACAGG